GGAAACAACAAGCAUCGCUCUUUUUUAAUGCCUGCUAAACUGAUUACUACAGGUAAACAAUUUUCCAAUGAACUCAGUUUUGGGGGGAACUUGUGCCCAGCAAAAGAAGCAACACCAGUGGUACAAGCAAGCACAACACAGGUAGAAUAGCCACACUCUGUCCUAACAAUGCCCCUACCGAAUGGCUUCUCAGAUUCGGGGUGCACAUCAUCGUAGAAGAACUAUGAGAUGCGCACUUGUCGAUGCAGCACGCUAGGCUUUCGACAAUGAAGGCGGGCGGUGACACACUGGAACGGAUUGGUCUUAGGGCCAUGGCUCCAGGUGAAAACACGAGAACCCAAGUGCGCAACAACUAAACAAGGCCUCGUACACAAAGCCUUCGCCUAAAAAUGUGCAUCCAGCGCACCAUGAGGAAUGCAGGAAAGCAUGAGGCUUUACGUGCCAAAUGUGGCCAGUACAACCAAGGAGUCUGUGUGGACACCGCGGGGUAUAAGCACAAGGGCGCAUUUGCGAUUGCGCUGCUGGACUCAACGGUUGCCUCGCACUGCUGCCGUUGGUACGGCCCGUAUCCGCUUGCUUACGUAUACUAUAUAUGGAUGCAUGGGUGAGCUCACACAUUUAGCCGCUGCUGCUCCUGCACCAUGAGAGCAAAGAUGGGUUACCGGCCCAUUUGCAUGGUAUUUCUUGUGUACUCCGCAUUAUUACGCCACAAAGACUGUAAAUAAAAUAUCUACAUCUUAUUUAUUUUAGCCUAACAAACCUACUCUCUUCAACAGGCACCUUUCUAGAUAACAGAUAGCUUCGGAUCACUUCAACCACUUGGGGUUCUUUAAUGUGCAUCGACAUCGUGGAGUGCGGGACCCUCUAGCAUUUCGACUCCACCAAAAUGCGAAGACCACAGCUGGGUUCGCACCCAAGCUUUUGGGGUCAGCAGACGAGCACCGUAAACCCUGCGGCGGACUCAAUCGAAAUAUCCGUAGGGUUCCGUCAGCGUGCUUCCUCCGUGGCGUCAAUGUCUCGUAUGCGCACUGGAGAUGUUCUCAAUGCAAGAGACGCAAGCUUGUUACAUUAGGACGACAAAUCUUUGUUGUGCAUGUUCGUACCUGCGAGGAAAACUGGACGAGUAGCAGGCUUGUGGCAUGCUCUCCAGGUGUUGUGUGCUCCGGUUCCCUGUGGCUCGUCUGGGCACGCGUACUAGGGGUAAGCCGGCCGAUGUAUCAUCGUGGGGUUUAGCGAGCUAUGAAAGGCCAAUUUACACCUACCUAUAACGAUACAAAGCUGUAACAGCCAGUACCCAGCGGAAUUUGAGGGCGGAUUCUUCGGGACCCCUGGCUAUGUCGAAAGUGACAAGGGAAAUCUGAGUUUCUCCAUCCGUGCAAGAUGAAAGCCCACAUAGGGAACGAGGAACCGGGAAAUAUAGGAAACGAUGGAAAAUUAAAGAGAAAAACGGAAACACGUGUGCUUACUGUCUCUUCCGUGUGUUUUCUUUAGAACUAGGGUGCCGUUGCCUACUCACGUGAUAGCUCAAAGGUCGACGUCUUUCAUCUCCUCUCCAUUACAAAAACGGUUGUUAGCGGUUGUUGUCUGCGCGUGUUCAUGUGUUCGCGUGGGAUAGGAUGGCCUCAAGUUCGGUGGAAUUUCUUUUUGUCGUCCGUGCUAGAUUUUUCGUAUCGGUUGUGUGAGCGUCGUGCUUUACGCAGACCAUAAAAGAAGAGAUUAACUUUAAUGAAGCACGAGUGAUUCUUAUGGGGGUAGUCUUAUCUGAGGGCCGCACCGGCCUAAGCCGCCCAUUGAACCUGGUCGAUCAGCGCUUGUAUUUUAGUGCUUAGCGUAGUCAUGUUUUAGCCUUUCCAUGAUAUUUGCUCUCACAAUGAUGGCUCGAAUUUUUUUUUCCCGAAAAAAAAAAUCCCCCUCGUCUGCGCAAGCGUCGCUUGUCAAUGCAGCAGUUAGAUAUGACUUCCACUUCAAUAAAAGGUUCAGUUGGAGUUGAGAGCCUCUUUUGUGUCAUUUUUGUCUUUGUCUCUGUUCUCUGUUUCUUAAAAUAGUGUUCUGCUCUUUUCGAGAGGAUGUACAAACAACGAGCGAGCCAUUACCACCUAAGCAAGCUCUUCAGAUGAGGGAUGCAGCAUUUGUGCAGACAACGCAGCGGACGGAAGCUUCUGGCGUGCACACC